rnacentral:rRNA from 1 species
UACGGAGGGUGCGAGCGUUAUCCGGAAUUACUGGGUUUAAAGGGUGCGUAGGCGGCGUAGUAAGUCAGGAGUGAAAGUUUGCGGCUCAACCGUAAAAUUGCUUUUGAUACUGCUAUGCUAGAAUUAGGAUGAGGUCAGCGGAAUGUGGCAUGUAGCGGUGAAAUGCAUAGAUAUGACAUAGAACACCAAUUGCGAAGGCAGCUGGCUACACAAAUAUUGACACUGAGGCACGAAAGCGUGGGGAUCAAACAGG